AUGGUGGCGGGCGGAGCCGCGCGGCUGCUGCCGCUGCCCCGCCUGGGCCGCGCCGCCGGGGCGCGGGGGGCGCUGCCCGGCUGGACGGCGGCGGGGCGCGGCGGGCUGCGGGGCGGCCGCUGGGCCGCCGUGGCCUUGGCGGUGCCGGCCGUGUCCGCGUCGGUGCCCGGGCAGCGCCGCCCGCCCAGCCGGCCGCUGUGGGUGGGGGAGCGGGAGCGGGCGCCCCGGGGGCUGGUGCUGCGGCUGGUGCUGGUGCUGCGGCUGGGGCUGCGGGCCUGCGGGCUGCUGCUGCGCUUCGGGCCGCUGCUGCUGCUGUACCCGCUGAGCCGCCUGCGGCCCGGCCUGGGCGCCCUGUGGCUGCGGCUGCUGCGGAGGGCGGCCGAGGCCGCGGGCCCGACGUGCGUCAAGCUGGGCCAGUGGGCCAGCACCCGCAGGGACCUCUUCUCCGAGGCCUUCUGCGACGAGUUCUCCAAGCUGCACGUCGAGGUGAGCCCGCACCCCUGGGGCCACACCGACGAGCUGCUGAGGAAGGCCUUCGGCGAGGACUGGAGGCGCGUCCUCAAGUUCCAAAGCCAGGAGCCGGUGGGCUCGGGCUGCGUGGCGCAGGUGUAUAAAGCCUACGCCGACCUGGCGGCUAUCGCUGGCGGCCAGGCCAAGGAGCUGGCGCAGUGCUCAGAGUUACGGUCCGCUUCUGAAGCGUGGGAGGCGUCAGGCUUUAGAGGCCUCUUCAGGUGGCUGAGGAAGAGGAAGAGUGAGGGGAGGUGGGAAGAGAGGAGCAAGGAGGAGCUGAGCCUGGUGGGCUGCUCCCCCGAAAGUCCCGUGAGCGGAACGCAGCGUGUGGAGCAGAUGGCCAAACCGCCCCUGAAUGCAAACCCUUCACCAGCCAGACAUCUCACGCCUGUAGCCAUUAAAGUCCUGCAUCCUGGGCUAGUCCACCAAGUCCAGAUGGAUCUGUUUAUCAUGAAGAUGGGUAGCCACAUCCUUGGACUUCUCCCUGGAUUCAAGUGGCUCAGUUUGACAGAGAUUGUGGAGGAAUUUGAGAAGCUUAUGAUUCAGCAGAUCGACUUACGCUACGAAGCCAGAAAUCUGGAGCGCUUCCGGCAAAAUUUCCUGCAUGUUGAUUUUGUGAAGUUCCCAACUCCCGUUCGCCCUUUGGUAACAACCGAUGUUCUAGUGGAAACAUUUGAGGAGAGUGAGCCCAUUUCGCGCUACCUGCAUGCAGAGGUUGCCACAGAACUGAGGCAGAGACUUGCAAAGAUGGGCAUGGACAUGCUGCUAAAGAUGGUCUUUGUUGACAACUUUGUGCACGCUGACCUGCACCCCGGGAACAUCCUGGUGCAAGGCACGGCCCAGUCCAGCACCGGCGGCAGGGAGCAGACGGCCCUCGUGGACCUGUGCGACACGCUGGUGGUGGAGGUGCAGCCGCCCCUCCGGCGGCUCUGCCUGGUGCUGCUGGACGCGGGGAUCGUGGCGGAGCUGCAGAGCGCUGACAUGCAGAACUUCCGCGCAGUUUUCACGGCUGUGGUCCAGGGCCAGGGGGAGAGAGUGGCAGAACUGAUCCUUCAUCAUGCCCGUGCUAACCAGUGCCAGGAUAUUGAGCGAUUCAAAGCCGAAAUGGCAGAACUAGUGACCAAAGUCCGGGGGAACACCAUCGCCCUGGGAAAGCUGCAGGUGGCAGAUCUCCUCUCGAAUGUCUUUAAAUUAUUGAUGACCCAUAAGGUGAAGCUCGAGAGCAAUUUUGCUUCCAUCAUCUUUGCCAUUAUGGUUCUGGAAGGUCUUGGUCGUUCACUGGACCCUGAACUGGACAUCCUAGAGGCAGCUAAACCACUGCUCAUCAAAACUGCAGCUUCUGUCCUUGAAUAGACUCCAGCGGCUGCUGCCCUCUCACCGUGCAGGGUUACCUGUGGUGCCUGCGAGCUGACAAAGAAGCUGAAGGGAAAUGGCCUGCAUUUUAUGAAGAAUACUGACAGUGGAGGGAUCUACACUCACCUGCAGCCCAAGCUGGAUGGUUCCAAGCUGUCCUACCAGGUUUUCUGAAGGACCUCUCCUCUUACUGGAUUCCUGCCCCGCCACCUACAGCAGCUCUGGACCCACAGCACUUCUGGCAGGAGGUAGCACAACUUUUUCAUCUGUAUGGACUUCUUUCCUACAGAUCUCUGCAACUCAAGUGCGAUGGGACACUUGCAAGAGUCAGUUGUUAAUGAUGGACAUUGCAGUGGAUAAUUUCUACUGUAUUUUAGCAUGUACAUUUUUUUCAUCCAGCUGGUCUGCAGCUCUCCUUCCCCAUAUUUCAUGUGAUGUUAACGUAGCAAGGUAAGUCAUAUGCCAGCAUCACAUAGCUUUACUUUCUAUUUUAUGUUGUCCUUGACCUUUAAGAAACGUGCUCUUCUGGCCCUGUUCUGGAAGAAACACAGCAGGGCAGAAAGCUCCCAGAAUUCAGCAGCAGCAGUCUUUUCAGGCCUGUAUUUAAUUCCCCUGCCACCUUGUACAGUGGGACGUAAUCUGUGCCGAUGGCCAUGCUACUUUACAGUAGCUGUGAGAGAGCUUGAGAGACUCAUUCCCGGGGAGUUUCUUUUGACCUUCAUUCUUGUUCUUCACUUAGUACUGUAAAUUGUGUGGCCUACGCCACUUAACUCGUUCCUUUCUCUGUCACUUGUAUCUUGAAAGUAAUUAAAACGCGUCACCCG